rnacentral:lncRNA from 1 species
AUGAAACUUCUGCUGUUCUCCAUAAUGGCAUCUGAUUCUUACUCCCUCUGUGACCAAAGCUGUUUACAAGACGCAGAUCAUUGUGAAACUUUCUCAGAAUUCACCUCUUUAAAAGAUCUUUUCCGGUGCCUGGGUGGCUCAGUCGGUAAGCGUCCGACUUCAGCUCAGGUCAUGUUAUCACGGUUCGUGGUUCGAGCCCCACGUUGGGCUCUGUGCUGA